rnacentral:rRNA from 1 species
ACCUACGGGGCGCAGCAGUAAGGAAUCUUGCGCAAUGGGCGAAAGCCUGACGCAGCCAUGCCGCGUGAAUGAUGAAGGUCUUAGGAUUGUAAAAUUCUUUCACCGGGGACGAUAAUGACGGUACCCGGGGAAGAAGCCCCGGCUAACUUCGUGCCAGCAGCCGCGGUAAUACGAAGGGGGCUAGCGUUGCUCGGAAUUACUGGGCGUAAAGGGCGCGUAGGCGGACAGUUUAGUCAGAGGUGAAAGCCCAGGGCUCAACCUUGGAAUUGCCUUUGAUACUGGCUGUCUUGAGUACGGGAGAGGUGAGUGGAACUCCGAGUGUAGAGGUGAAAUUCGUAGAUAUUCGGAAGAACACCAGUGGCGAAGGCGACUCACUGGCCCGUUACUGACGCUGAGGCGCGAAAGCGUGGGGAGCAAACAGGAUUAGAUACCCGUGUAGUCU